UAGGGAAUCUUCCGCAAUGGGCGAAAGCUUGACGGAGCAACGCUGCGUGAGUGAUGAAGGUCUUCGGAUCGUAAAACUCUGUUAUUAGGGAAGAACAAAUGUGUAAGUAACUAUGCACGUCUUGACGGUACCUAAUCAGAAAGCCACGGCUAACUACGUGCCAGCAGCCGCGGUAAUACGUAGGUGGCAAGCGUUAUCCGGAAUUAUUGGGCGUAAAGCGCGCGUAGGCGGUUUUUUAAGUCUGAUGUGAAAGCCCACGGCUCAACCGUGGAGGGUCAUUGGAAACUGGAACACUUGAGUGCAGAAGCUGAAAGUGGGAUUCCAUGUGUAGCGGUGAAAUGCGCAGAGCAAUGGAGGAACACCAGUGGCGAAGGCGACUUUCUGGUCUGUAACUGACGCUGAUGUGCGAAAGCGUGGGGAUCAAACAGG
rnacentral:rRNA from 1 species